CCUACGGGUGGCAGCAGUGGGGAAUAUUGGGCAAUGGAGGCAACUCUGACCCAGCCAAGCCGCGUGAAUGAUGAAGGUCUUCGGAUUGUAAAGUUCUUUUUUAAGGGGAGAAGAAAGUGACGGUACCUUGGGAAUAAGCCUCGGCUAACUACGUGCCAGCAGCCGCGGUAAUACGGAGGCGGCGAGCGUUAUCCGGAAUGACUGGGCGUAAAGGGUGCGUAGGUGGUCUGACAAGUUAGUAGCGCAACUCCGGGGCUCAACUUCGGAACUAGUACUAAAACUGUUGGACGUGAGUGCAGGAGAGGCAAUCGGAAUGCGUAGUGUAGCGGUGGAAUGCGUAGAUAUUAGGAGGAACACCAAUGGCGAAGGCAGAUUGCUAGACUGUAACUGACACUGAGGCACGAAAGCGUGGGGAGCGAACAGGAUUAGAUACCCGUGUAGUC
rnacentral:rRNA from 1 species